rnacentral:misc_RNA from 1 species
AGCAGCCGCGGUAAUUCCAGCUCCAAUAGCGUAUAUUAAAGUUGUUGCAGUUAAAAAGCUCGUAGUUGAAUUUCGGGAUCAAUAUAUCGGUCGUGCCUUGGUACGUACUGGUAUCAUUGGUUUCUCCUUUCUGACGAACCAUGAUGUCAUUAAUUUGGUGUUAUGGGAAGUUAGGACUGUUAACUUCGAAAAAUUAGAGUGUUUAAAGCAGGCUUACGCUUGAAUACAUUAGCAUGGAAUAAUGAAAUAGGACGUUUGAUUCUAUUUUGUUGGUUUCUAGGAUCGACGUAAUGAUUAAUAGGGAUAGUUGGGGGCAUUAGUAUUCAAUUGUCAGAGGUGAAAUUCUUGGAUUUAUUGAAGACUAACUACUGCGAAAGCAUUUGCCAAGGAUGUUUUCAUUAAUCAAGAACGAAAGUUAGGGGAUCGAAGACGAUCAGAUACCGUCGUAGUCUUAACCAUAAACUAUGCCGACUACGGGAUCGGAUGGAUGUUUAAUUUUUAAUGUACUCAGUUCGGCGUA